GCCGGGGUGGUGAAACUGGUAGACGCAGGGGACUCAAAAUCCCCCGGCCCUUAGCGGCCAUGCGGGUUCGAUUCCCGCCCCCGGCA
rnacentral:tRNA from 1 species